GACGAACGCUGGCGGCGUGCUUAACACAUGCAAGUCGAACGAGAAUCUGUGGAUCGAGGAUUCGUCCAAGUGAAGCAGAGGACAGUGGCGGACGGGUGAGUAACGCGUGAGGAACCUGCCUUUCAGAGGGGGGACAACAGUUGGAAACGACUGCUAAUACCGCAUGAUACGUUUUAGGGGCAUCCCUGAGACGUCAAAGAUUUAUCGCUGAAAGAUGGCCUCGCGUCUGAUUAGCUGGUUGGUGAGGUAACGGCCCACCAAGGCGACGAUCAGUAGCCGGACUGAGAGGUUGACCGGCCACAUUGGGACUGAGAUACGGCCCAGACUCCUACGGGAGGCAGCAGUGGGGAAUAUUGGGCAAUGGGCGCAAGCCUGACCCAGCAACGCCGCGUGAAGGAAGAAGGCUUUCGGGUUGUAAACUUCUUUUAAGAGGGAAGAGCAGAAGACUGUACCUCUAGAAUAAGCCACGGCUAACUACGUG
rnacentral:rRNA from 1 species